UUUUUUUUUUUUUUUUUUUUUUUUUUUUACUAC
rnacentral:ribozyme from 1 species